UGGAGACAGAGCUUUCCCUUCGGGGACAAAGUGACAGGUGGUGCAUGGUUGUCGUCAGCUCGUGUCGUGAGAUGUUGGGUUAAGUCCCGCAACGAGCGCAACCCUUGAUUUUAGUUGCCAGCAUUUAGUUGGGCACUCUAAAGUGACUGCCGGUGCAAGCCGGAGGAAGGUGGGGAUGACGUCAAAUCAUCAUGCCCCUUAUGACCUGGGCUACACACGUGCUACAAUGGAUAGUACAAAGGGUCGCGAAGCCGCGAGGUGGAGCUAAUCCCAUAAAACUAUUCUCAGUUCGGAUUGUAGGCUGCAACUCGCCUACAUGAAGCCGGAAUCGCUAGUAAUCGUGGAUCAGCAUGCCACGGUGAAUACGUUCCCGGGCCUUGUACACACCGCCCGUCACACCACGAGAGUUUGUAACACCCGAAGUCGGUAGGGUAACCUUUAUGGAGCCAGCCGCCGAAGGUGGGACAGAUAAUUGGGGUGAAGUCGUAACAAGGUAGCCGUAUCGGAAGGUGCGGCUGGAUCACCUCCUUU
rnacentral:rRNA from 1 species